UACGAACUGUCCUAACGUUGUUCGGAAUCACUGGGCGUAAAGCGCACGUAGGCGGUUUGUUAAGUCAGGGGUGAAAUCCUGGAGCUCAACUCCAGAACUGCCUUUGAUACUGGCGAUCUCGAGUGCGGGAGAGGUGAGUGGAACUGCGAGUGUAGAGGUGAAAUUCGUAGAUAUUCGCAAGAACACCAGUGGCGAAGGCGGCUCACUGGCCCGGUACUGACGCUGAGGUGCGAAAGCGUGGGGAGCAAACAGG
rnacentral:rRNA from 1 species